UUAAAUUGAAGAGUUUGAUCAUGGCUCAGAUUGAACGCUGGCGGCAGGCCUAACACAUGCAAGUCGAACGGUAACAGGAAGAAGCUUGCUUCUUUGCUGACGAGUGGCGGACGGGUGAGUAAUGUCUGGGAAACUGCCUGAUGGAGGGGGGUAACUACUGGAAACGGUAGCUAAUACCGCAUAACGUCGCAAGACCAAAGAGGGGGACCUUCGGGCCUCUUGCCAUCGGAUGUGCCCAGAUGGGAUUAGCUUGUUGGUGGGGUAACGGCUCACCAAG
rnacentral:rRNA from 1 species